UCGGCACAGAUCGGAUAACCGCAAGGCUACAGAACUGGUUAUCAAGUGACUCCUGAGUUCGCUGUAACACAAGGUGCGAAGAGCAUUUCUUGUUUACACGAGCUUCACGAGUUCUUUGGAGUUGGUCAAGUGAUUGUCAAUAAUCGCUAUGACAACCACAAAGAGCACUUGUAUCGUUAUGUUGUGCGAAAGCGCAAAGAUCUGCUGGAGGUGGUAAUCCCAUUCUUCAGACAGAAUCCGAUGCAUUCCUCAAAGCAGAAAGACUUUGAGAAAUUCGCACAAUGUGUUGAGUUGAUCGAAAGCGGUCAUCAUUUAACUCGUCCAGGGUUAAUUGAGAUUGUAGAGAUUGCUCAGACGAUGAAUCGCCAAAAACCUAGAAACGAAUUAAUCAGAAUCCUCAGAGACCACAUGCCAAACUUCCAAGACACUGGAAGAUGAUAUGGUCCCGACUGCAUGGCGACAUGCAGGGAUGAUGUGAAGCUCGCAUUAUCCGCCUGGCCCAAAGCCAGGUAAGAUCUCAAGCGAAAUUCCUUGUCGGGUAAGUUCCGACCUGCACGAAUGGCGUAACGAUCUGGGAGCUGUCUUAACGAGAGGCACAGCGAACUUGUAGUACCGGUGAAGAUGCCGGUUUCCCGCAUCUAGACGGAAAGACCCCGUGCACCUUGACUACAACUUGAUAGUGGGUUCGGGCAAACGAUGCGCAGGAUAGGUGGGAGGCUUUGAACCCGUCCUUUUGGGGGCGGGGGAGCCAACGGUGAGAUACCACCCUUCGUUUGUCUGGACUCUAACCUAGAGCCGUAAUCCGGUUCAGGGACACUAUCAGGCGGGUAGUUUGACUGGGGCGGUCGCCUCCCAAAUUGUAACGGAGGCGCGCGAAGGUUCCCUCAGGCUGAUUGGAAACCAGCCGUAGAGUGUAAAGGCAUAAGGGAGCUUGACUGCGAGACCAACAAGUCGAGCAGGUACGAAAGUAGGUCUUAGUGAUCCGGCGGUUCUGUAUGGAAGGGCCGUCGCUCAACGGAUAAAAGGUACGCCGGGGAUAACAGGCUGAUCUCCCCCAAGAGUUCACAUCGACGGGGAGGUUUGGCACCUCGAUGUCGGCUCAUCGCAUCCUGGGGCUGAAGUAGGUCCCAAGGGUUUGGCUGUUCGCCAAUUAAAGCGGUACGCGAGCUGGGUUUAAAACGUCGUGAGACAGUUUGGUCCCUAUCUUCUGUGGGCGUAGGAUACUUGAGAAGAGUUGACCUUAGUACGAGAGGACCGGGUUGAACGUACCUCUGGUGUUCCAGUUGUUCCGCCAGGAGCAGUCGCUGGGUAGCUAUGUACGGAAAGGAUAACCGCUGAAAGCAUCUAAGCGGGAAGCCUCCUUCAAGAUUAGGUAUCCCCGGGAGCAAUCCCCUGAAGGCCCGUUGUAGACCACAACGUUGAUAGGCCGGGUGUGUAAGCGCAGUAAUGCGUUCAGCUUACCGGUACUAAUCGGCCGUGAGGCUUGACCAU
rnacentral:rRNA from 1 species